rnacentral:rRNA from 1 species
GUCGAGAAUCUUUCACAAUGGGGGCAACCCUGAUGGAGCGACGCCGCGUGGAGGAUAAGGUCUUCGGAUUGUAAACUCCUGUCAUGCGUGAACAAGGUUGCUUGGUUAAUACCUGGGCAAAUUGAUGGUAACGCAAGAGGAAGAGACGGCUAACUCUGUGCCAGCAGCCGCGGUAAUACAGAGGUCUCAAGCGUUGUUCGGAAUCACUGGGCGUAAAGGGUGCGUAGGUGGCGUGGUAAGUCAGAUGUGAAAGCCCUGGGCUCAACCUCGGAACUGCAUCCGAUACUGCCAUGCUAGAGUACUGGAGAGGUGACUAGAAUUCUCGGUGUAGCAGUGAAAUGCGUAGAUAUCGAGAGGAAUACCAAAGGCGUAGGCAGGUCACUGGACAGUUACUGACACUGAGGCACGAAGGCCAGGGGAGCGAACGGGAUUAGAUACCCCUGUAGUCC